AGAAACAAGCUUCCAUAGUUUAUUGCCAUGACUUAACUAUAAAAUCAGUUUUUAAUAUGAGCUUUUAAUCAUACAUUAUGACACAUUGUUCUCGUUACCAGUGUCCAUUUCAUAGCAAAAAAUAUUGGAACUAUUUUAAUGUUUUGAAACUAUUUGAAAAUAAUAUUAGUCAAAGACAAAGUCGAUGAACAACAAAGACACCCACAACACAUAAUAGAAUAUGUGGCAGGUCUAUUAGUCUGUAUUUACAUAAUGCGCACAUCUAUUUUGACAUUAGAAUUUUCUGUCCCAUCCAAUGCUGGUUUUUUUUUCAAACUGCAAAUGGGUUAUGUACAGAUUUUCCCUUUUUAAUCACUGUAGCUGUCAAUCACUUCAGCAGAAACUCACUGUUGUGAAAACUCCUAAUCAAUGAAGCUGGCUACACUGCACAAUGAAUCUCUUAUUGACCUUAUAUUGCAUAAAAAUGAUUAGUUAGCAAGUUACUGAAUAAUGUAGCUGCUUACUAAUAAUUAUUUUAUGCAUAUAUUUAAGCAGUUAAUAGUAUUAGCUAACUGCUGCAAGUGGCAACACAAGACUAAACAUCAUCAUUGAAAAUACUCUCACAUCAAAACUCAGCAUUCCUGAACACAGCACUUUCUGCAACUAAUGGUAAAUGUUUUUGGCCAGUGAUAAACGCUUUGUUCUCAGCUGAAGAAAUUAUUUUCAAGGACAACAAGAUUUUACAUUUUUACAUUUUCUCCAAUUUUCCAUGUGUUUUCCAGGACUGGAAACUUUGUCGCUAUUAUGCACCUUCUGAAAGAGUACAGAAUCUGGAUCAAAACACAGACUUGCUCUGGCAUAGGAUCCUACUGACUGCUCUUGAAAACAGCACCCUCUGAGAUCAGUGCUAAAGCAAACGACGGUGGUGAUGCUGUAACUUACAGCGGUGAAGUUUUGAUGUAGGUGGCGUUGCGGAAGUGAGGACAGUCCACCUGCUCACAGCGAUGACCUCCGAAUGUAUUCACACACACCUGCUCACUGCUGCAGUUAUGGGUCUCCCUCGCACACUCGUCAAUGUCUACAGAAAGCACAUGAUAAAAACAACUAUUUAUUUUUAAAGAUACAACCUCAGAUGAACAACAACACAUGACAUAUCACACCAUGUCAUUGUUUAUUUAACAAAAACUAUGGUCAAAAUGGAAAAGCCAUGGGUGACAAACUAAGGAUACCUUUACUGUUUCCUUAUGAAUGAAGAGUGUAAGUGUAAGUCAGGCACUGCUAAUCAAAUAUCAUUGAUUAGUCAAUCAGCAAGUGUGAUCACCUCUAUAAAAGCAGAAGUGUUGGCAGUGUGCUGGUCUGGAGUCUUCAGGUGUGUGUUAACAUAAUGCCAAGGAGGAAAGACAUCAGCAAUGAUCUUAGAGAAGCAGUUGUUGCUGCUAUCAAUCUGGGAAGGGUUACAAGGUCAUUUCCAAACAAUUUGAAGUCCAUCAUUCUACACUGAGGAAGAUUAUUCUCAAGAGGAAGACAUUCAAAACAGACACAAAUCUUCCCAUGAGUGGACGUGCCAGCAAAUUCACCCCAAGAUCAUGACCAUGUAAUGAUCAGAGAAAUCAAACACCCAAGAACUCUAUCUCAGACUCUACAGGCCUCAGUUAACAUGUUCAAUGAUAAAGUUCAUGACAGCACAACUAGAAAAAGAUGGGUCAAGUAUGGUAUGUUUGGAAGGGUUUCCAGGAGAAAACUUCUUCUCUCUAAAAAGAACAUGGCGGCACGGCUUAGGCUUGCAAAGUUGCAUCUGAACAAACCAUAAGACUUCUGGAACAAUGUUCUUUGAACAGAUGAGACCAAAGUGGAGAUGUUUGGCCAUAAUUCACAGAAAACUAAACACAUCAUAUCAGCACAAACAUCUCAUACCGAUGAUUUUUGGCUUGUUUUGUAGCCACAGGACCUGCGGGAACCUUCAGUCAUUGAAUCGACCAUGAACUCUUCUAUAUACCAAAGUAUUCUAGUAGUAGUCAAAUGUGAAACCAUUCGUCUGACAGCUAAAGCUUGGCUUACAGUUUUUUACAGAUGCUAGGACACAUUUCUCAAUGCUUAGGUCACUUUUGCAAAACUCUUCACACAGUGAGCACAACAGAAGUCUAUGUGGGCUAAACUG